UACGUAGGGGGCAAGCGUUGUCCGGAAUCAUUGGGCGUAAAGAGCGUGUAGGCGGCCCGGUAAGUCCGCUGUAAAAGUCAAAGGCUUAACCUUUGAAUGUCAGUGGAUACUGCCGGGCUAGAGUCCGGAAGAGGCGAGUGGAACUCCUGGUGUAGCGGUGGAAUGCGCAGAUAUCAGGAAGAACACCAACGGCGAAGGCAGCUCGCUAGGACGGUACUGACGCUGAGAACGCGAAGCGUGGGGAGCAAACAGG
rnacentral:rRNA from 1 species